ACACAGCAUGCAAGUUUUCUUGUGCAUGUGCUAACCUGUCACCAGCAAAAAUCAAAGGAUCUUCGCUUGGAUGAAAAAAAUCCCAUUGCACUGGAAAUACUACCAAUGUCGAGUUACGGAUCUCUUUUUUUCCCCUUUCUUCAAAUGUUCUCGUGUACGCCCAUGUGAAUGUGGGUGUAUUCACGAGGAUACCCUUUUUCCUCUUCCGCCUGGUGUGGGAUUUAACUUUUCAGCGGAUGGAUGGAGCAACCGUGGAUGCCUGGCUGGAUUACCCAGGCAAGAUGAACUCGCUAGCAUCUCUCGUGAAUGGCGUGACUGCACAGCUGCUGGUACUUGAAGACUUGUCACGGCGUAAAUAUGACUGAUCGUAGCCCAAUCAAAUAAUUCGUGACUGCUGUUUUAAAAGGUAGGAACAAAUAGUGCUAAAUGAUUUCCACUUCGUGAACAAUGCUGUUCUAUUGACAAUGAAUCCGAUGCCAUUGACCGUUUUCCUCGAAUUUCUUUUUUUGACGCGAUUCAAAUCUGUUAAUGCAGAUUUACUUUCGC